rnacentral:rRNA from 1 species
GACGAACGCUGGCGGCGUGCUUAACACAUGCAAGUCGAACGGAAAGGCCCUGCUUUUGUGGGGUGCUCGAGUGGCGAACGGGUGAGUAACACGUGAGUAACCUGCCCUUGACUUUGGGAUAACUUCAGGAAACUGGGGCUAAUACCGGAUAGGAGCUCAUGCUGCAUGGUGGGGGUUGGAUAGUUUCGGCGGUUGGGGAUGGACGCGCGGCUUAUCAGCUUGUUGGUGGGGUAGUGGCUUACCAAGGCUUUGACGGGUAGCCGGCCUGAGAGGGUGACCGGCCACAUUGGGACUGAGAUACGGCCCAGACUACUACGGGAGGCAGCAGUGGGGAAUAUUGCACAAUGGGCGGAAGCCUGAUGCAGCAACGCCGCGUGCGGGAUGACGGCCUUCGGGUUGUAAACCGCUUUCGCCUGUGACGAAGCGUGAGUGACGGUAAUGGGUAAAGAAGCACCGGCUAACUACGUG